CAGGUCACUCCUACGGGAGGCAGCAGUGGGGAAUCUUGCACAAUGGGGGAAACCCUGAUGCAGCGACGCCGCGUGAGCGAUGAAGCCCUUCGGGGUGUAAAGCUCUUUCGGCAGGGAAGAAAGAUGACGGUACCUGCAGAAGCAGCUGCGGCUAACUACGUGCCAGCAGCCGCGGUAAUACGUAGGCAGCAAGCGUUGUUCGGAGUUACUGGGCGUAAAGGGUGUGUAGGCGGUUGCUUAAGUUUGGUGUGAAAUCUCCCGGCUCAACUGGGAGGGUGCGCCGAAUACUGAGUGACUCGAGUGCGGGAGAGGAGAGUGGAAUUCCUGGUGUAGCGGUGAAAUGCGUAGAUAUCAGGAGGAACACCGGUGGUGUAGACGGCUCUCUGGACCGUAACUGACGCUGAGACACGAAAGCGUGGGUAGCAAACAGGAUUAGAUACCCUGGUAGUCCACGCCCUAAACGAUGCAUAUUUGGUGUGGGCAGUUCAUUCUGUCCGUGCCGGAGCUAACGCGUUAAAUAUGCCGCCUGGGGAGUACAGUCGCAAGGCUGAAACUUAAAGGAAUUGACG
rnacentral:rRNA from 1 species